rnacentral:rRNA from 1 species
GACGAACGCUGGCGGCGUGCUUAACACAUGCAAGUCGAACGGAAAGGCCCUGCUUUUGUGGGGUGCUCGAGUGGCGAACGGGUGAGUAACACGUGGGUAACCUGCCCUUGACUUUGGGAUAACUUCAGGAAACUGGGGCUAAUACCGGAUAGGAGCUCCUGCUGCAUGGUGUGGGUUGGAAAGUUUCGGCGGUUGGGGUUGGACUCGCGGCUUAUCAGCUUGUUGGUGGGGUAGUGGCUUACCAAGGCUUUGACGGGUAGCCGGCCUGAGAGGGUGACCGGCCACAUUGGGACUGAGAUACGGCCCAGACUCCUACGGGAGGCAGCAGUGGGGAAUAUUGCACAAUGGGCGGAGGCCUGAUGCAGCAACGCCGCGUGCGGGAUGACGGCCUUCGGGUUGUAAACCGCUUUCGCCUGUGACGAAGCGUGAGUGACGGUAAUGGGUAAAGAAGCACCGGCUAACUACGUG